AACACAAUUACUGGAUCAUGUUUAGUUUUGUAAGAAACUGCCAAUCUGUUUUCCAAAGUAGCUGUGUCAUUUUGCAUUUCCAUCAACAAU
rnacentral:pre_miRNA from 1 species